rnacentral:rRNA from 1 species
CCUACGGGAGGCAGCAGUGAGGAAUAUUGGUCAAUGGUCGGGAGACUGAACCAGCCAAGCCGCGUGAGGGAUGAAGGUCCUGCGUAUCGUAAACCUCUUUUGUCAGGGAACAAAGCCCGGCACGUGUCCCCGUCUGCGUGUACCUUACGAAUAAGCAUCGGCUAACUCCGUGCCAGCAGCCGCGGUAAUCCGGAGGAUCCGAGCGUUAUCCGGAUUUAUGGGGUUAAAGGGGUGGGUAGGCGGUCGGUAAAGUCAGCGGUAAAAUCCCGGGGCUCAACCGCGACCCGCAGUUGAAACUGGAAGUCUUGAGUUGAGAAGAGGUAGGCGGAAUUCGUGGUGUAGCGGUGAAAUGCAUAGAUAUCACGAGGAACCCCGAUUGCGAAGGCAGCAUGCCGGGGUGAGACUGACGCUGAGGCUCGAAGGCGUGGGUAUCAAACAGGAUUAGAUACCCGUGUAGUC